CAGGGAAUCUUCGGCAAUGGACGAAAGUCUGACCGAGCAACGCCGCGUGAGUGAAGAAGGUUUUCGGAUCGUAAAACUCUGUUGGUAGAGAAGAACGUUGGUGAGAGUGGAAAGCUCAUCAAGUGACGGUAACUACCCAGAAAGGGACGGCUAACUACGUGCCAG
rnacentral:rRNA from 1 species